rnacentral:rRNA from 1 species
AUUGAACGCUGGCGGCAGGCCUAACACAUGCAAGUCGAGCGGCUGCACAGUACUUGCUUGUGCAUUCAGCUGCCGACUGGUGGAUAAUGCCUAGAUACCUCCCUGUUUGCUUUUGCUUACGUCCUAAAACGGGGGCUCUUACCCCAUUCGUCCUUACGGCGUACGUGUGGGAUCUUCGGACCUUCCGAUCUUAGGUGAUCCGAGGUCGGAUUAGCUAGUUGGUGGGGUAAAGGCGUAACAAGGCGACGAUCCGUAACUGGUCUGAGAGGAUGAUCAGUCACACUGGAACUGAGACACGGUCCAGACUCCUACGGGAGGCAGCAGUGGGGAAUAUUGGACAAUGGGCGAAAGCCUGAUCCAGCCAUGCCGCGUGGGUGAAGAAGGUCUUCGGGUUGUAAAGCACUUUAGGUGGGGAAGAAGGGCAGUAAGUUAAUACCUCGCUGUUUUGACGGUACCAAAAGAAUAAGCACCGGCUAACUUCGUG